UAGAGUUUGAUCCUGGCUCAGGAUGAACGCUAGCGGCAGGCUUAACACAUGCAAGUCGAGGGGCAGCGAGAUCAGUGCUUGCACUGAUUGUCGGCGACCGGCGCACGGGUGCGUAACGCGUAUGCAACCUACCCAUUACAGGGGGAUAACACUGAGAAAUCGGUACUAAUACCCCAUAACAUCCAGGGAGGCAUCUUCUUGGGUUGAAAACUCCGGUGGUAAUGGAUGGGCAUGCGUUGUAUUAGUUAGUUGGUGGGGUAACGGCUCACCAAGGCAACGAUACAUAGGGGGACUGAGAGGUUAACCCCCCACAUUGGUACUGAGACACGGACCAAACUCCUACGGGAGGCAGCAGUGAGGAAUAUUGGUCAAUGGACGCAAGUCUGAACCAGCCAUGCCGCGUGCAGGAAGACGGCUCUAUGAGUUGUAAACUGCUUUUGUACGAGGGUAAACGCAGAUACGCGUAUCUGUCUGAAAGUAUCGUACGAAUAAGGAUCGGCUAACUCCGUGCCAGCAGCCGCGGUAAUACGGAGGAUUCAAGCGUUAUCCGGAUUUAUUGGGUUUAAAGGGUGCGUAGGCGGUCGGAUAAGUUAGAGGUGAAAUCCCGGGGCUCAACUUCGGAAUUGCCUCUGAUACUGUUCGGCUAGAGAGUAGUUGCGGUAGGCGGAAUGUAUGGUGUAGCGGUGAAAUGCUUAGAGAUCAUACAGAACACCGAUUGCGAAGGCAGCUUACCAAGCUACUUCUGACGUUGAGGCACGAAAGCGUGGGGAGCAAACAGGAUUAGAUACCCUGGUAGUCCACGCAGUAAAACGAUGAUAACUCGUUGUCGGCGAUACAGUGUCGGUGACUAAGCGAAAGCGAUAAGUUAUCCACCUGGGGAGUACGUUCGCAAGAAUGAAACUCAAAGGAAUUGACGGGGGCCCGCACAAGCGGAGGAACAUGUGGUUUAAUUCGAUGAUACGCGAGGAACCUUACCCGGGCUUGAAAGUUAGUGACGGAUCUUGAAAGAGGUCUUCCCUUCGGGGCACGAAACUAGGUGCUGCAUGGUUGUCGUCAGCUCGUGCCGUGAGGUGUCGGGUUAAGUCCCAUAACGAGCGCAACCCCUACCGUUAGUUGCCAGCAGGUCAAGCUGGGCACUCUGACGGGACUGCCGGUGUAAGCCGAGAGGAAGGUGGGGAUGACGUCAAAUCAGCACGGCCCUUACGUCCGGGGCUACACACGUGUUACAAUGGCAGGUACAGAGGGCAGCUACCCAGCGAUGGGAUGCGAAUCUCGAAAGCCUGUCUCAGUUCGGAUUGGAGGCUGAAACCCGCCUCCAUGAAGUUGGAUUCGCUAGUAAUCGCGCAUCAGCCAUGGCGCGGUGAAUACGUUCCCGGGCCUUGCACACACCGCCC
rnacentral:rRNA from 1 species